rnacentral:rRNA from 1 species
AGUGAACGUUGGCGGCGUGGAUUAGGCAUGCGAGUCGAGCGAGAACCGUAGCAAUACGGGGACAGCGGCGAAAGGGACAGUAAUAUGUAGGUACCUACCCUCGGGUCCGGGAUAGCUGCGGGAAACUGCAGGUAAUACCGGAUGACAUCUCCGGAUCAAAGGUGUGAUUCCGCCCGGGGAGGGGCCUGCAUCCUAGUAGCUUGUUGGUGUGGUAACGGCCUACCAAGGCGACGAUGGGUAGCGGGUGUGAGAGCAUGACCCGCGUCAUUGGGACUGAGACACUGCCCAGACACCUACGGGUGGCUGCAGUCGAGAAUCUUCGGCAAUGGGGGCAACCCUGACCGAGCGACGCCGCGUGCGGGAUGAAGGCCUUCGGGUUGUAAACCGCUGUCGUAGAGGAGGAAAUGCAGGGGGGUUCUCCCCUCUGUUUGACCUAUUCUAGGAGGAAGGACGGGCUAAGUUCGUGCCAGCCGCCGCCGUAA